rnacentral:rRNA from 1 species
GACGAACGCUGACGGCGUGCCUAACACAUGCAAGUCGAACGAGGUCCAAGGAAGCUUGCUUCCUGAAGACCUAGUGGCGAACGGGUGAGUAACACGUGAGAAACCUGCCUCGGAGUGGGGAAUAACUCGGGGAAACUCGAGCUAAUACCGCAUACCUUCACAUGAUCGCAUGGUCGAGUGAAAGAAAGAAUUUCGCUCUGAGAGGGUCUCGCGGCCUAUCAGCUUGUUGGUGGGGUAACGGCCUACCAAGGCAACGACGGGUAGCUGGUUUGAGAGAACGAUCAGCCACACUGGGACUGAGACACGGCCCAGACUCCUACGGGAGGCAGCAGCGGGGAAUCUUGCGCAAUGGGCGAAAGCCUGACGCAGCAACGCCGCGUGCGGGAUGACGGCCUUCGUGGUUGUUAAACCGCUCUCAGCA